UACGUAGGGUGCGAGCGUUGUCCGGAAUUAUUGGGCGUAAAGAGCUUGUAGGCGGUUUGUCGCGUCUGCCGUGAAAAUCCGGGGCUCAACCCCGGACUUGCGGUGGGUACGGGCAGACUAGAGUGUGGUAGGGGAGACUGGAAUUCCUGGUGUAGCGGUGAAAUGCGCAGAUAUCAGGAGGAACACCGGUGGCGAAGGCGGGUCUCUGGGCCGAUACUGACGCUGAGGAGCGAAAGCGUGGGGAGCGAACAAG
rnacentral:rRNA from 1 species